rnacentral:rRNA from 1 species
UACAGAGGUCUCAAGCGUUGUUCGGAUUCAUUGGGCGUAAAGGGUGUGUAGGUGGCGCUGUAAGUCGGGUGUGAAAUCUCGGGCUUAACUCCGAAACUGCAUUCGAUACUGCGGUGCUUGAGGACUGGAGAGGAGACUGGAAUUCAUGGUGUAGCAGUGAAAUGCGUAGAGAUCAUGAGGAAGACCAGUGGCGAAGGCGGGUCUCUGGACAGUUCCUGACACUGAGACACGAAGGCCAGGGGAGCAAACGGG